UACGGGGGGGGCAAGCGUUGUUCGGAAUUACUGGGCGUAAAGGGCUCGUAGGCGGCCAACUAAGUCGGACGUGAAAUCCCUCAGCUUAACUGGGGAACUGCGUCCGAUACUGGAUGGCUUGGAUUUGGGAGAGGGAUGCGGAAUUCCAGGUGUAGCGGUGAAAUGCGUAGAUAUCAGGAGGAACACCGGUGGCGAAGGCGGGUCUCUGGGCCGAUACUGACGCUGAGGAGCGAAAGCGUGGGGAGCGAACAGG
rnacentral:rRNA from 1 species